UGCUUUGCAGAGCUGUUGUGAGAAUUAAAUAAGAUACCCCAUUGCUUGGCACAGAAUAGGUGUGCAAUAGAUGCUAGUUUCCUUUCCUGUCGGUUUUGUAUCUAUUCUAGGAAAAUGACUUCAUCCCUGGAGAAGAAUGGCUGUUAUUCAUUAUGGGGCUGGAACAAUGACAACACGGGUCUUUGGGAAACACUGGCCUUCCCUGCAGGGCACAGGAAAUGGAACAUCAGCCUCCCUGCACGCCCAAGCCCUCUGAUUCUGAUAACAGAGGCCAGACUGGCCAAGUGAACACACCCCUGUGUAACCAGCACUCAGAUCAAGAAACAGAAUGUUCUCAGCACCCGGAAGUCCCCUCAUAUCCUCUUCUGGUCACAAUCCCCCGUAAAGGGAGCCAGGUUCCUCUUUUGUGCCCCCUAAGGGGUACAAGCACAAGCUACCUGUUAGAUUCCUGGGAGAGAGAAGGAAUACUGUGCCUUCUGACAUACCAUACCAGUGACCAACUUAUCUCAAUUUGCCCACAACUGUCCUAAUAUUAGAACUGGAAGUCUUAGUUCCUUGAAAUCCCUUAGCCCCAGGCAAACAGAGAGGACUGACUUCUCUACAAGCUGCAGCAAAGACGGAAGUCUGUCCAAGUGCAGACGCAGGCACUGAUUCUCAAGUAAGAGGGCCUCGACAUUUAAGAGCGCCUCUGAGACAGGCACUGUACAAGGCCCUGGGCACAAAGAUAAAAAGUCACAAUCAUCGCCACGGAGGAGCCACAAGCCCUGUAAACACAUCAGCGGAGCAUUUAUCUCUUAGGACCGAAAUGCGAUCACCAAUAACUUAUGUAGCCACAGUGCACAAACUACUCAUAUAGCAAGGUGCUGGAAAAUAGCCUCAGGCGGGGAGACUCCGGACAGGAAAUAGAGUGAGCAAUGUGGCGGGGUUCUAGCCCCUCCUCUGCCUGUCCUCACUCUUAGCUUUGGUUUUCUCAACCUUGAGAUUCGUCGUGUGCUUUUAGCGAGCUGAGGAAUCACUUCGGAAUGCUCAUUAAAAUACGAUUCCUGAAUCUGACCCUAGCUUUACUGAAUCGGAAAGG